AUUGAACGCUGGCGGAAUGCUUAACACAUGCAAGUCGAGCGGGCUGUAGCAAUACAGCUAGCGGCGGACGGGUGAGGAAUACAUAGGAAUCUGCCUCAGAGUGGGGGAUAGCCUGGGGAAACCCGGAUUAAUACCGCAUGAUGUCGUAAGACCAAAGCAGGGGACCGUAAGGCCUUGCGCUUUGAGAUGAGCCUAUGUCGGAUUAGCUAGUUGGCGGGGUAAAAGCCCACCAAGGCGACGAUCCGUAGCUGGUCUGAGAGGACGAUCAGCCACACCGGAACUGAGACACGGUCCGGACUCCUACGGGAGGCAGCAGUGGGGAAUAUUGGACAAUGGGCGCAAGCCUGAUCCAGCAAUUCCG
rnacentral:rRNA from 1 species